GCGCGCACACACACACACACACGCACACACACUUUGUCGAGUGAGUUUUGGAGUGAGCGAACUGGUUUUUCGGGGGAAAUUCAACGCGGAACACAGAGAACGUGAACACACAGCAAGUGCGUCGCUCGCCAGACAUCUACCUUUAAAAGAAGCAAAGGCUGCUCUGAGAGGACAAAAAUGGAGGCGAUGAUGAAGGGACUGAACAAAGCCAAGGAAGGAGUGGUGGUAGCGGCGACCAAGACCAAGCAAGGAGUGAGUGGCGCGGCUGAGAUCACUAAAGACGGAGUCCUCUACGUCGGUGGGUCCCCCA